rnacentral:lncRNA from 1 species
UGAUCUGUCUGUUAAAUUCAUGCAGUGGGAACAAAUGUGGAUUUUCUUUGCCAAGAAAAUACCAUAGAUGAACAUUAAAAACAGUUCUGUAAGCCAAAAUUCACAUCUGCACACACUUAAAAUGUAGCUCUGUUUUAAAAAAAUAAUAAUUUGUAAUACAUUCUGAAAAACACAAAAAUGCUCUACACCUGGCUGGUAAAGGGAUGCUGGAUUUUGUCAAAUGCUUUUUAUGCAUCUAUUGAGAUGAUCAUGUGAUUUUGUUUUCAAUUUUCUUUAUGUGGUUUAUCACAUUUAUUGACUUGUGGAUGUUAAAUCAUCCCUGCAUUCUUGGUAUGAAACCCACUUGAUCAUGGUGGAUUAUCUUUUUGAUAUGCUGCUGGAUUCAGUUAGCUAGUAUUUUGUUGAGGAUUUUUGCAUCUAUGUUCAUCAGGGACAUUGGUCUGUGGUUUUCUUUUUUUGUUAUGUCGUUCCCUGGUUUUGGUAUUAGGGUGAUACUGGCUUCAAAAAAUGAUUUAGGGAGGAUUUCCUCUUUCUCUAUCCUGUGGAAUAGUGUCAGUAGAAUUGAUACCAAUUUUUCUUUGAAUGUCUGAUGGAAUUCAGCUGUGAAUCUGUCUGGUCCUGGACUUUUUUUUUCUUGGUAACUUUUUAAAUACCGUUUUAAUCUUGCUGCUUCUUAUUGGUCUGUUCACAUUUUUCCUGGUUUAACCUAGGAGGGUUGUAUAUUUCCAGGAAUUUAUCCAUCUUCUCUAGAUUUUCUAGUUUAUUUGCAUAUAGGUGUUCAUAGUAUCCUUGAAUGAUCUUUUGUGUUUCUGUGUUAUCAGUUGUAAUAUCUCCCAUUUUGUUUCUAAUUGAGCUUAUUUGGAUCUUCUGUCUUCUUUUCUUGGUUAAUCUCACUAAUGGUCCAUCAAUUUUAUUUAUCUUUUCAAAGAACCAGCUUUUUGUUUAAUUUAUCUUUUGUGGGCUUUUUUUUUUGUUUCAAUUUCAUUUAGUUCUGCUCUGAUCUUGGUUAUUUAUUUUCUUCUGCUGGGUUUGGGUAUGGUUUAUUCUUCUUUCUCUAGUUCCUUGAGGUGUAACCUUAGAUUGUCUAUUUGUGCUCUACCAGACUUUUUGAGUAGGCAUAAAAAAGUUGGGAUUUUUAUUGGUAUUGUGUUGAACCUAUAGAUACAUUUAUGGAAAAUUGACUUAGUAACAUAUUUCAAUCUUUCGCUCUAUGAAUAUAACACUGCUUCGUUUGUUUAGGUUUUUGAUUUCUUUGGCAGUGUUUUGCAGUUUUCAGUGUGUGGGUCUUACACAUUUUUUCUGAUUUAUUUUUAAGUAAUUCAUAUUUUUGAUGCUAUUGUAAAUGAUAUUUUAAAAUGUAAAUUGUUCAGUUGUUCAUUUGCUAGUCGUUCCAUCAUGUAAACAUGCUGAUCAGUAGUUUGCUUCACACUAAGGAGAGACCCUCGGCAGAUCUUCGUGGCUCUCCCCUGGACAGUUACCUCCCCAGCAC